CCUCGAUUCGGUUUUACGGUUUCGAACCCGGGGUUUGGAAUCCGCGUUACCCACCCGUUCUGUGUUUAUCGAUCGUUUGCCUUCGCUGUUAGAACUGUGUCCUGUGUUUAAAAUAUGAAUAGCCGUAGUAUCAGAGCGUUAUGUGACGAUGGAGUUAAGAGAAAUUGCGUCGGGUAGUGCUCGCAACGUAGAAUAUUAGACUAAUUAAUAAGAUUGGCAAUAUGAGGAUCUCAUGGUAAAUCCAGCUUUUGAUCCAUGGGCUCCAGACAACUGUCCUUGGUAGCAAAAUACACCUCCGUGAAGGGGAGGCACAAUUCCCCCCACACCCACUAAGAUACAGCCACCUUGGAUUACAAAUCUCAGUAUGCCAUGAAUUGGACCUCCCAAGCUGGGGAGGCAGUAGGAACCAGGGUUGGAGCUGAGUGGCCCGGUGAACCUAUGUAAUAUGGAAGGCAAGCAGGCCUGCUCUUUCUUUUCUGGUUUCGACUUGCCUCCAGAGACUUGGAGGAGUGUGGAGGAGAGACAUGUAGAGACACUUGGAAGGAAUAAUUUGGAAGA